rnacentral:rRNA from 1 species
CACGUAGGGCGCAAGCGUUGUCCGGAAUUAUUGGGCGUAAAGAGCUCGUAGGCGGACUGUCACGUCCGCUGUGAAAAGCUAGGGCUUAACCCUGGCCUUGCAGUGGAUACGGGCAGACUAGAGGUAGGUAGGGGAGACUGGAAUUCCCGUGGUAGUGGUGGAAAUGCGCAGAUAUCAGGAGGAACACCGGUGGCGAAGGCGGGAUCUCUGGGCCUACUGACU